rnacentral:rRNA from 1 species
GAACCGUGCGAACGUUGUUCGGAAUCACUGGGCUUAAAGGGCGUGUAGGCGGGCCUCCAAGUCCGGGGUGAAAUCCUCCCGCCUAACGGGAGAAGAGCCUCGGAGACUGGGGGCCUCGAGGAGGGUAGGGGCGUGCGGAACUCUGGGUGGAGCGGUGAAAUGCAUUGAUAUCCAGAGGAACUCCGGUGGCGAAGGCGGCACGCUGGACCCUUUCUGACGCUGAGGCGCGAAAGCCAGGGGAGCAAACGGGAUUAGAUACCCCGGUAGUCCUGGCCCUAAACGUUGGGAACUAGGUAGUAGGCCAGACAUGGGCUUACUGCCGGAGCAAAAGUGCUAAGUUCCCCGCCUGGGGAGUAUGGUCGCAAGGCUG